AUCGCGGGCAUUCAGAGCGUAUUUGAAAGGACGUAAAGUGUUGUAGGAAGAAUUUUGUAAAAGAUUUAAUGACUUGAGAAUUUCAGGAAAAGUAUCAAAAGUCAUAGGUACUUGGGGACAGGAAAAUGUUUUUUUAACCCUCCUCCUUUAUUUCCAAAAUUCCCAUUUUUUUGUUUCUAUUAAUUUCAUUAUGAACAUACAUUUAGUGUACAUGUA
rnacentral:lncRNA from 1 species